rnacentral:rRNA from 1 species
GACGAACGCUGGCGGCGUGCCUAACACAUGCAAGUCGAGCGGAGUUAGUAGCAAUACUAACUUAGCGGCGGACGGGUGAGUAACGCGUGAGUAACCUGCCGAAAACAGGGGGGUAACACAGGGAAACUUGUGCUAAUACCGCAUAACAUCAUUGGAUGGCAUCAUCCGAUGAUCAAAGGAGUAAUCCGGUUUUUGAUGGACUCGCGUCUGAUUAGCUAGUUGGUGAGGUAACGGCUCACCAAGGCGACGAUCAGUAGCCGAACUGAGAGGUUGAUCGGCCACAUUGGGACUGAGACACGGCCCAGACUCCUACGGGAGGCAGCAGUGGGGAAUAUUGCGCAAUGGGGGAAACCCUGACGCAGCAACGCCGCGUGAAGGAUGAAGGCUUUCGGGUUGUAAACUUCUUUGAUAGGGGACGAACAAAAUGACGGUACCCUAAAAACAAGCCACGGCUAACUACGUGCCAGCCGCCGCGGUAA